rnacentral:lncRNA from 1 species
AUGGAACCAACAGCGGUAGAGAUUUUGAGUAGAGACCGUCUAUUGCUCAAAGGUGAGAUGAUAAAGAUCUCUGAGAAAUGGGAAGAAAGGACAGAAGGAUCAGGCACUAUAUGGCCCAUGGGAGGGACUUUUGAUCCAAUAAUGUAUAGGGACAUGGAGGUAGUAUUAAGGAAUUACAUAGAUAACAGAAGUGGAAAAACGGCCUUAGCAAAGAGGGACAGGGAAAAGUUAGUACUAGCUUUGUUCUUAGAGGAAGGAGAGAGAUGGCGAACAUUACAGAGAGUGGCGGGAGAAAUAAUAGCUAAUAACAACAAGGCUCAACCAUUGCCUCUGAAAGUUGAGCCACCGCUGCACAAACUAGUAUCAAUGCACCCAUUGCUAAAAGGCAACGUAGAAUCGAAAGGGGAAGUCACACUAGAUGAAGGAGUUAAUAAAUGUAACACACAGGAGAGGAGGGGUGCACCCAUACACAUGGACUGUUAUGAGGGGAUUAGGAAAGAAAGGGAAGAGUGUAAUAAUGCUGACAUUUGUUCUAGUGAGGGAGAAAACGAGAAUGAAGAAGAGGAGAAGGAUGACAUUGAGCAUGUUGGUGAAGGGUCAUCACAACAAUAUGUAAAACACAUUACUAAGAAUGCUAAGAGGAGAAUAAAGAAGUGGAACGAAAGAGAGGAGGAGUGGUCUAGUGGGACACAAGGGGCAGAGGAGCCUGGCUGCAGUACAUCAGUACUAAGCCCCACACCACUCGAGUUAGAUAAGAAACUAAGGAAAUCACAAAGGGGGAAAAGGGCACCCGAAACUUCCCCGGGAAACUAUCCUAUUCUAGUCAAAGGACAACAGGUCCAUUUUCAACCAUGGGGUUCACAGGACUUAGAGGGAGUCAUUUCUAAACUCCCUAACAUAAUUAACGGGGCGUCCAAAUGGAUUAGAACAUUUGAGGAGCUCACAGUGGGAAAGCUAAUUGCAGUGGGGGACCUGAAAGCUCUGUUGGCAAGAGUGUUGGGGUUAUCCAAGAUGGAGUUUGUACUGAGGAAUGGAGGGUUGAAUAUACUGGAUGGAAAGUAUGAUGAGACUACACUUGAUCAUUACAGAGGGGCGAUGUGGGCCACACUCAGGAGGGAGUUCCCGGUCCGCAUGGAUCCUAAAAACAUGAGAGGUCUCCCUAUUGGUGACACAGAGAACCCUGCAUCCUUCCUGCAGGCCCAAGUAGACAGAUGGCGCAUGGAGACGGAUGAGGAUCCUGAGAUCCAUUCGGUGUUCUCUGUCAUGUUUAGAAACUGUGAUAGAGACACUACCCAGCCAAAUCAAAGCCAAGCUAGAGGAUGUGGUUGGACUGUUUACAUCAGGAUCUCAUAG